CACCGGCCCGGGGCUGCCUCCA
rnacentral:miRNA from 1 species